rnacentral:rRNA from 1 species
GUGGGGAAUAUUCCGCAAUGGACGAAAGUCUGACGGAGCAACGCCGCGUGAGUGAUGAAGGUUUUCGGACUGUAAAGCUCUGUUGUUUAGGACGAAAGUGCCUGUUGCAAAUAGUUACAGGUAUUGACGGUACUGAACGAGGAAGCCACGGCUAACUACGUGCCAGCAGCCGCGGUAAUACGUAGGUGGCAAGCGUUGUCCGGAAUUAUUGGGCGUAAAGAGCAUGUAGGCGGGAAUCUAAGUCUGUUGUGAAAAUGCGGGGCUCAACCCCGUAUUGCGAUGGAAACUGGGUUUCUUGAGUGCAGGAGAGGAAAGGGGAAUUCCCAGUGUAGCGGUGAAAUGCGUAGAUAUUGGGAGGAACACCAGUGGCGAAGGCGCCUUUCUGGACUGUGUCUGACGCUGAGAUGCGAAAGCCAGGGUAGCGAACGGGAUUAGAAACCCUAGUAGUCC